AAGUACAAAUACAUUUUGUUUUAAGGUGUUUGCUUCCUCCUAGGCCGGAGAAUGUCAGGCUGCAUUGAACAACGUGCAUGGGAAGAAAAGGGAAUGCAGACAGAGGCAGGUGUGAAGGUGCAAGCACAGGACGUUCUGGUUGGAACAUGAGGGACUUUUGCCAGAGAAUUGUCAUGAGGAAAAAAUCCUGAGCAGAAGACGACUGACAGGACAGAGCUUGAUCAGGAAAAGGGAUAAACCAGCUUUGAGAUUGAUCAAUCAUUUUUAACACUGUGGCAAGGCUAUCAUGAGACAAUUUCUUAAUUAUAUCCAGUGCCAAAAUCCAUCUUUGGAUUGCAGUGGAAUCCUGAUGUCCAGACAGUAGCGCUGAGUGCCCACAUGUGGUUGCCAGCAUGAACACGUGCACUUUGUGCCUUUCUUGGAACAGCUGCUGUUUGAUAUCAAGCCUUCUAAAGUGCUGCUGUAGCACCAGUCCAAACAACCCCACACUCAUCAGAUUUUCCCUCUGGCUUUAUCCCUGCAGCAGGUGUCCAUCACAGACAAAAAAGGAAAGGAGGGAAAAGGCAAGAAGAACCUGUCAGAAAAAUGGAAGGAGAAGCUGAAGCCAGUACUGGUCAGUCCCCCUUUACAAAAUCCUGUUUUGUGUGACUUGAACUGGCAGGUGAGGGAACUUCACUCUGAGGCCUGCACAGUGUGGGGCUUUGGCAGUUUUCUGGAGGUUUGCUAGUGAAACUGACUCUGACAGAAGGAGAUGGAAAACAAUUCAAAAGGACAAAGCUGCAAAUGAAGUAAUAGGAAAAUAAAAUGAUGAGAAGAGGAAAGCA
rnacentral:lncRNA from 1 species